UUCAACUUGAGAGUUUGAUCCUGGCUCAGAGCGAACGCUGGCGGCAGGCUUAACACAUGCAAGUCGAGCGGGCAUCCUUGUGGUGUCAGCGGCAGACGGGUGAGUAACGCGUGGGAACGUGCCCUUCGGUUCGGAAUAACUCAGGGAAACUUGAGCUAAUACCGGAUACGUGCGAGAGCAGAAAGGUUUAUCUGCCGAAGGAUCGGCCCGCGUCUGAUUAGCUAGUUGGUGAGGUUACGGCUCACCAAGGCGACGAUCA
rnacentral:rRNA from 1 species